CCCUUAGAUGUUCGGGGCCGCACGCGCGCUACACUGAUGCAUUCAACGAGUGUACCUUGGCCGAGAGGCCUGGGCAAUCUUUUGAACGUGCAUCGUGAUAGGGAUAGAUUAUUGCAAUUAUUAAUCUUGAACGAGGAAUUCCUAGUAAACGCAGAUCAUCAAUCUGCAUUGAUUACGUCCCUGCCCUUUGUACACACCGCCCGUCGCACCUACCGAUUGGAUGGUCCGGUGAAGCCUCGGGAUUGUGGCGGUUGCCUUUAUUGGUGUCCGCCGCGAGAACUUGUCUAAACCUUAUCAUCUAGAGGAAGGUGAAGUCGUAACA
rnacentral:rRNA from 1 species